CAGAGGGUGCGAGCGUUGUUCGGAAUUACUGGGCGUAAAGCGCGCGCAGGCGGCCUUUUAAGUCUACCCGUGAAAUGCCGGAGCUCAACUCCGUGCACGCCGGGGGAUACUGGAGGGCUGGAGACAGGUAGAGGCAGGCGGAAUUCCGGGUGUAGCGGUGGAAUGCGUAGAGAUCCGGAAGAACACCAGAGGCGAAGGCGGCCUGCUGGGCCUUGUCUGACGCUGAGGCGCGAAAGCGUGGGGAGCGAACAGGAUUAGAUACCCUGGUAGUCCACGCCGUAAACGAUGGGCACUAGACGCGGGUGGGAUCGACCCCUUCCGUGUCGCAGCUAACGCGCUAAGUGCCCCGCUGGGGAUACGGCCGCAAGGCUG
rnacentral:rRNA from 1 species